rnacentral:lncRNA from 1 species
GCGGGGCGGUAGCUGGCGCCGAGCGCGKUGGGAGAGGAGAGGGUACCCGGCUGGCUUGGCUGGCGGCCUCUGCCCGCAUCUCGGYGCCGCAGCCCUGCACCUCUCCCGCCCUUGUCGCUGGGUCCGCGGUCCCGGGCACGGAGGAGGCAGUGGAGCUCUAGGCCACUGGAG